rnacentral:rRNA from 1 species
AGCGAACGCUGGCGGCGUGCUUAACACAUGCAAGCCGAGCGAAGGUGUUUCAAGGGUAACCUUGAGAUACACUUAGCGGCGGACGGGUGAGUAAUACGUGGGUGACCUGCCCUCAGCUCUGGGAUAAGCCUGGGAAACCGGGUCUAAUACCGGAUAUGACUCCAUGACGCAUGUUGUGGGGUGGAAAGCCUUGUGCGGCUGAGGAUGGGCCCGCGGCCUAUCAGCNGUUGGUGGGGUGAUGGCCUACCAAGGCGACGACGGGUAGCCGGCCUGAGAGGGCGACCGGCCACACUGGGACUGAGACACGGCCCAGACUCCUACGGGAGGCAGCAGUGGGGAAUCUUGCGCAAUGGGCGAAAGCCUGACGCAGCGACGCCGCGUGAGGGAUGACGGCCUCGG